rnacentral:rRNA from 1 species
UACGAAGGGGGCUAGCGUUGUUCGGAAUCACUGGGCGUAAAGCGCACGUAGGCGGAUCUUUAAGUCAGGGGUGAAAUCCCGAGGCUCAACCUCGGAACUGCCUUUGAUACUGGGGAUCUCGAGUCCGGGAGAGGUGAGUGGAACUGCGAGUGUAGAGGUGAAAUUCGUAGAUAUUCGCAAGAACACCAGUGGCGAAGGCGGCUCACUGGCCCUGAACUGACGCUGAGGUGCGAAAGCGUGGGGAGCAAACAGG